rnacentral:rRNA from 1 species
UACGUAGGGUGCGAGCGUUGUCCGGAAUUAUUGGGCGUAAAGAGCUCGUAGGCGGUGUGUCGCGUCGGCCGUGAAAACCUGCAGCUUAACUGUGGGCGUGCGGUCGAUACGGGCAGACUGGAGUACUGCAGGGGAGACUGGAAUUCCUGGUGUAGCGGUGAAAUGCGCAGAUAUCAGGAGGAACACCGGUGGCGAAGGCGGGUCUCUGGGCAGUAACUGACGCUGAGGAGCGAAAGCGUGGGGAGCGAACAGG